rnacentral:rRNA from 1 species
AACGAACGCUGGCGGUGUGCUUAACACAUGCAAGUCGAACGAGAAAGUUUCCUUCGGGAAGCUAGUAAAGUGGCGCAAGGGUGAGUAACACGUGAAUAAUCUGCCCUCGAGAUCGGGAUAACCUGAGGAAACUUUAGGCUAAUACCGGAUAAGACCACAUUUUCAUAUGGAAUGUGGGAAAAGGAGGCUCAACCUCCACUUGGGGAUGGUUCGCGGACCAUUAGCUUGUUGGUGAGAUAACAGCUCACCAAGGCUACGAUGGUUAGCCGGCCUGAGAGGGUGAACGGCCACACUGGAACUGAGACACGGGUCCAGACCCCUACGGGAGGCAGCAGUGGGGAAUAUUGCGCAAUGGGCGAAAGCCUGACGCAGCAACACCGCGUGAGCGAUG